rnacentral:rRNA from 1 species
GGUCUACCACCGGGAUGUUCAUAACCCUUUGUUGUCCGACUCUGUUGCCUCCGGGGCGACCCUGCCUUCGGGCGGGGGCUCCGGGUGGACACUUCAAACUCUUGCGUAACUUUGCAGUCUGAGUAAACUUAAUUAAUAAAUUAAAACUUUUAACAACGGAUCUCUUGGUUCUGGCAUCGAUGAAGAACGCAGCGAAAUGCGAUAAGUAAUGUGAAUUGCAGAAUUCAGUGAAUCAUCGAAUCUUUGAACGCACAUUGCGCCCCCUGGUAUUCCGGGGGGCAUGCCUGUUCGAGCGUCAUUUCACCACUCAAGCCUCGCUUGGUAUUGGGCAACGCGGUCCGCCGCGUGCCUCAAAUCGACCGGCUGGGUCUUCUGUCCCCUAAGCGUUGUGGAAACUAUUCGCUAAAGGGUGUUCGGGAGGCUACGCCGUAAAACAACCCCAUUUCUAAGGUUGACCUCGGAUCAGGUAGGGAUACCCGCUGAACUUAAGCAUAUCAAUAAGCGGAGGGAAAAGAAA